rnacentral:rRNA from 1 species
AUGAACGCUAGCUACAGGCUUAACACAUGCAAGUCGAGGGGCAGCAUGAACUUAGCUUGCUAAGUUUGAUGGCGACCGGCGCACGGGUGAGUAACACGUAUCCAACCUGCCGAUGACUCGGGGAUAGCCUUUCGAAAGAAAGAUUAAUACCCGAUGGCAUAGUUCUUCCGCAUGGUGGAACUAUUAAAGAAUUUCGGUCAUCGAUGGGGAUGCGUUCCAUUAGGUUGUUGGCGGGGUAACGGCCCACCAAGCCUUCGAUGGAUAGGGGUUCUGAGAGGAAGGUCCCCCACAUUGGAACUGAGACACGGUCCAAACUCCUACGGGAGGCAGCAGUGAGGAAUAUUGGUCAAUGGACGAGAGUCUGAACCAGCCAAGUAGCGUGAAGGAUGACUGCCCUAUGGGUUGUAAACUUCUUUUAUACGGGAAUAAAGUGAGGCACGCGUGCCUUUUUGUAUGUACCGUAUGAAUAAGGAUCGGCUAACUCCGUGCCAGCAGCCGCGGUAAUACGGAGGAUCCGAGCGUUAUCCGGAUUUAUUGGGUUUAAAGGGAGCGUAGGCGGACGCUUAAGUCAGUUGUGAAAGUUUGCGGCUCAACCGUAAAAUUGCAGUUGAUACUGGGUGUCUUGAGUACAGUAGAGGCAGGCGGAAUUCGUGGUGUAGCGGUGAAAUGCUUAGAUAUCACGAAGAACUCCGAUUGCGAAGGCAGCCUGCUGGACUGUAACUGACGCUGAUGCUCGAAAGUGUGGGUAUCAAACAGGAUUAGAUACCCUGGUAGUCCACACAGUAAACGAUGAAUACUCGCUGUUUGCGAUAUACAGUAAGCGGCCAAGCGAAAGCGUUAAGUAUUCCACCUGGGGAGUACGCCGGCAACGGUGAAACUCAAAGGAAUUGACGGGGGCCCGCACAAGCAGUGGAGUAUGUGGUUUAAUUCGACGCAACGCGAAGAACCUUACCAAGUCUUGACAUCCUGCGACGGACAUAGAAAUAUGUUUUUCCUUUGGGACGCAGAGACAGGUGGUGCAUGGUUGUCGUCAGCUCGUGCCGUGAGGUGUCGGCUUAAGUGCCAUAACGAGCGCAACCCUUAUCGAUAGUUACCAUCAGGUUAUGCUGGGGACUCUGUCGAGACUGCCGUCGUAAGAUGUGAGGAAGGUGGGGAUGACGUCAAAUCAGCACGGCCCUUACGUCCGGGGCUACACACGUGUUACAAUGGGGGGUACAGAAGGCAGCUACACGGCGACGUGAUGCUAAUCCCGAAAGCCUCUCUCAGUUCGGAUUGGAGUCUGCAACCCGACUCCAUGAAGCUGGAUUCGCUAGUAAUCGCGCAUCAGCCACGGCGCGGUGAAUACGUUCCCGGGCCUUGUACACACCGCCCGUCAAGCCAUGAAAGCCGGGGGUACCUGAAGUGCGUAACCGCGAGGAGCGCCCUAGGGUAAAACUGGUGAUUGGGGCU